rnacentral:siRNA from 1 species
UCAAGUGCCAAUUAUGUUGGGA